rnacentral:rRNA from 1 species
AGUGGCGGACGGGUGAGUAACGCGUGACAAUCUGCCUUGGGGUCGGGGACAACCACUGGAAACGGUGGCUAAUACCGGAUAAGCCGAUUGGUGAAAGAUUUAUUGCCCGAAGAGGAGCUCGCGUCUGAUUAGCUAGUUGGUGAGGUAAGAGCUCACCAAGGCAGCGAUCAGUAGCUGGUCUGAGAGGACGAUCAGCCACACUGGGACUGAGACACGGCCCAGACUCCUACGGGAGGCAGCAGUGGGGAAUUUUCCGCAAUGGGCGAAAGCCUGACGGAGCAAGACCGCGUGAGGGAGGAAGGCUCUUGGGUUGUAAACCUCUUUUCUCAGGGAAGAAGCUCUGACGGUACCUGAGGAAUCAGCCUCGGCUAACUCCGUGCCAGCAGCCGCGGUAAUACGGAGGAGGCAAGCGUUAUCCGGAAUUAUUGGGCGUAAAGCGUCCGCAGGUGGCGAUUCAAGUCUGCUGUCAAAGCACGGGGCUUAACUCCGUAAAGGCAGUGGAAACUGAAUAGCUAGAGUGCCGUAGGGGUAGAGGGAAUUCCCGGUGUAGCGGUGAAAUGCGUAGAGAUCGGGAAGAACAUCGGUGGCGAAAGCGCUCUACUGGACGGCAACUGACACUCAGGGACGAAAGCUAGGGGAGCGAAUGGGAUUAGAUACCCC